rnacentral:lncRNA from 1 species
AGCUUUGCAUAGCCAGCCACUGCUGGCAGUGGUGGCCCCAGCAGCCAUGGCCCCUUUUACCUGGAUCCUGCUUUCCCAGCAUUUCAUGGUCAUGCAGAUGGACCAGAAGCUAGAUGACAUCCUGACCGCGCUCCAGGCUCAGUUUGGGGAUCAGCCACAGGCACAGAUGUCAGGGCAGCCGCUCCACCUGUCAGACAGCUACAGACAGCCUCAGAUUCCUCCCCACUGAACCGGAAAAUUUAAGAGCCGGAGGACAGCCACAUGCCACCCCCUCAUUCUUUUACAUCUGGUUAUUUUUAAGUCUUGGUGUCUCAGGAUUCAGCUGUGUUGUUGAUGAAAUGGAAUAUGCUUCUGUGAUAGAUUAAAUGAAAGAGAAGCAGCAGCAAAAAGCCAGCCAUGCCCCUAGGAGGGCGCAUAAGUUUUGCACCUGUUUUAUUAGCCACUGUUAGCUAACCUAUGUCAGCCUGUGGCAGACCUUCUCAGCCAACCCCAUUUAGGCUGAGGGCGCACACAUAGACCACUCUGGUAAGGUAAGCACCCAAGCAAGGGUCAGGAUGACCCAUUCAUGGACAAAGGGGAAAAAGGACCAUGUUUUUGGCAUUUAAGCACUAAAUUUAAUUCUCACAGCAUGCCCAAAAGGGGAAAGGAGCCAGCAUUUGAACAUGAAAUAAAUGGAAAUCAGUGAACAGGAAACUUAAACAGCAUGUUUUGACUUCCACCAAGCAGUGAGGAUCAUAAGAAGGGCAGAUUUAUACAUUAGUGUGAAUGACAAUGUAAAGACAACAGGCUACUGAGUAAAAUAUGGAAGUGUACACCGGCUGGUUGACAUAUGAAAGAAGCAAAGACUUCAGCUAAUUAAAGCAAAGGUUUGCAAAUGAGAUGAGAUGCAUGUUGGAACAGACAGGCAGGAGAGAUAGUAUCUGCGUAGGCUUACUGCACAAGAACGCUCCAAUAGCUAUCAGCUACACUAAUGACUAUUAUGAAGAAUGUUCUCAAGCUUUAACCUUCAUUCAGCAGUGGCUGUUAAGUCCAGUUGUCUUAACUUUAACAUAAGAAGCCUGUAUGGUUAUCAGCUUUGAAAUAUCUAUAAAGUUCAGUUCAAGUCUCAGAGUAACAGUGCUGCAGGAGGGCUGCAGCUAUGACUGAGAAUGGAAGGGUAUCUUAAAGAAAACAAAAAUGUGCAUACUGAUGAUGAAAGCUAAUCACUGCUUAAAUAAACUACUGUGUAUAAUUUU